UUCGAGAAAGAACAACGGAAGUUCGCUUGGCUUACGAGGCAAGAGGUGCUGGUUCGAUUCCAGCUCUCGAAA
rnacentral:tRNA from 1 species